rnacentral:lncRNA from 10 species
CUGAAAGCCACACAGCUAGCAGCAGCAGAACGGGGAUUUGGACCCCUGUCUAUUUGGCUGUAAAGUUCAUUUUCUCUCCGAUAUACCAGGGACAGGAUCUCUCUCUCAUCCUGACUGGAGUACAGUGAUGACAUCCCAGCUCACCGCAGCUUCGACUUUCCAGGCUCAGGUGAUCCUCCCACCUCAGUCUCCUGGGAGACUACAGAUCAACUAGCAGUGAAGGCGAGUUCCAGUUCCUCCAUGUCCUCGCCAACACUUUCAGCAACUUUAAAAGGCACAGCUUUGCUUCUGUGAAGUGGGGAGCAUGUCUAGAGCUCUGUGGUUCAAAGAUUCUGGACACAUUUGAAAGGUGAAAGAAGCCAGGACACCUGGAGCAUUGCAAGCAACGAGCAGAGUGAUGGAGAUGAGGCUGGAGAGCAAGGCAGGAGCUGGGUCAUGUGGUGCCUGGGAGCUGACAGGACCAGGAAGAGGAUGUGAGUCUCCAAUUCCUUUAUGAAUCUGCUGGCCAAGCAGAGAGCAGAUUCGGUAAUCGUAGAUGCUGCUGCUUCUAUCUCUUUUUCUAAUAUCUCAAGACAUUCUAAU